rnacentral:tRNA from 1 species
GGGGUUGUAGCUCAGUGGUAGAGCGCUUGCCUAGCAUGUGUGAGGCACUGGGUUCAAGUCUCAGCACCA